ACGCCUAACACAUGCAAGUCGAACGAAGUAGCAAUACUUAGUGGCAGACGGGUGAGUAACAUGUAGGUAUCUACCCUUUGGCCUGGAAUAACACGAGGAAACUUGUGCUAAUACUGGAUAAGUCUUUACGGAGAAAGCUUUAUGCACCAUUGGAUGAGCCUGCACUUGAUUAGUUUGUUGGUGGGGUAAUGGCCUACCAAGACUGUGAUCAAUAGCUGAUUUGAGAGGAUGAUCAGCCACAUUGGGACUGAGACACGGCCCAAACUCCUACGGGAGGCAGCAGUGGGGAAUCUUGCACAAUGGAGGAAACUCUGAUGCAGCGAUGCCGCGUGAGUGAAGAAGGCCCUUGGGUUGUAAAGCUCUUUCGUCGGGGAAGAAAAUGACUGUACCCGAAUAAGAAGGUCCGGCUAACUUCGUGCCAGCAGCCGCGGUAAUACGAAGGGACCUAGCGUAGUUCGGAAUUACUGGGCUUAAAGAGUUCGUAGGUGGUUGAAAAAGUUGGUGGUGAAAUCCCAGAGCUUAACUCUGGAACUGCCAUCAAAACUUUUCAGCUAGAGUUUGAUAGAGGAAAGCAGAAUUUCUAGUGUAGAGGUGAAAUUCGUAGAUAUUAGAAAGAAUACCAAUUGCGAAGGCAGCUUUCUGGAUCAUUACUGACACUGAGGAACGAAAGCAUGGGUAGCGAAGAGGAUUAGAUACCCUCGUAGUCCAUGCCGUAAACGAUGUGUGUUAGACGUUGGAAAUUUAUUUUCAGUGUCGCAGCGAAAGCGAUAAACACACCGCCUGGGGAGUACGACCG
rnacentral:rRNA from 1 species